CCUACGGGGGGCAGCAGUCGAGAAUCAUUCACAAUGGGGGAAACCCUGAUGGUGCGACGCCGCGUGGGGGAAUGAAGGUCUUCGGAUUGUAAACCCCUGUCAUGUGGGAGCAAAUUAAAAAGAUAGUACCACAAGAGGAAGAGACGGCUAACUCUGUGCCAGCAGCCGCGGUAAUACAGAGGUCUCAAGCGUUGUUCGGAAUCACUGGGCGUAAAGCGUGCGUAGGCUGUUUCGUAAGUCGUGUGUGAAAGGCGCGGGCUCAACCCGCGGACGGCACAUGAUACUGCGAGACUAGAGUAAGGGAGGGGGAACCGGAAUUCUCGGUGUAGCAGUGAAAUGCGUAGAUAUCGAGAGGAACACUCGUGGCGAAGGCGGGUUCCUGGACAUUAACUGACGCUGAGGCACGAAGGCCAGGGGAGCAAAAGGGAUUAGAUACCCGAGUAGUC
rnacentral:rRNA from 1 species